ACGGAAGGCAGCAGUGGGGAAUAUUGCACAAUGGGCGAAAGCCUGAUGCAGCAACGCCACGUGUGGGAAGAAGCAUUUCGGUGUGUAAACCACUGUCGUGAGGGAAUAAUGCUUGGUUUCGGCCAAGUUGAAUGUACCUCGAAAGGAAGCACCGGCAAACUUCGUGCCAGCAGCCGCGGUAAUACGAGGGGUGCAAGCGUUGUUCGGAAUCGCUGGGCGUAAAGGGAGCGCAGGCGGAGAUGCAAGCAGUCUGUACAAUACCGGGGCCCAACCCCGGACCUGCAGACUGGACUGUUUCUCUUGGAUAGUUCAGGGGUAAGCGGAAUUCCUGGUGUAGCGGUGGAAUGCGUAGAGACCAGGAAGAACACCGAUGGCGAAGGCAGCUUGCUGGGGACUUAUCGACGCUCAUGCUCGAAAGUGCGGGUAGCAAACAGGAUUAGAUACCCUGGUA
rnacentral:rRNA from 1 species